UACGUAGGGUGCAAGCGUUAAUCGGAAUUACUGGGCGUAAAGCGUGCGCAGGCGGUUUUGUAAGUCUGUCGUGAAAUCCCCGGGCUCAACCUGGGAAUUGCGAUGGAGACUGCAAGGCUAGAAUCUGGCAGAGGGGGGUAGAAUUCCACGUGUAGCAGUUGAAAUGCGUAGAGAUGUGGAGGAACACCGAUGGCGAAGGCAGGUCUCUGGGCAUUAACUGA
rnacentral:rRNA from 1 species